UGCCUUUAAUUCCAUUUAGUCUACAAUUUAAUAAUUGAUAUGCUGAAUUCACACCUCCAUCUCAACCAAAAAUGUAAGUUAAUGAAUAGGAGUAAAUCAAAUGAAACUUUAUUUAAAGUUUGACUUGAUUUAGUCCUAUUCUUUUAGUUAGAUUUUUGGUUAAGGUGGCGACUUUAGUACAACAUAUAAAUGUUUUAUUUGUAGACAAACUGGAAUUAAAGCCAGACUAAGUCAGUGGUACAGAUGGAACUAUCCAAGCAGAAGAUACAUCUCCUUCAAAUGUUUGGUUGUGUUGACAACCAAACACAAUUCAAUAUCACUUUUGAAAUACAAUAAAUAUCCUGAUAACUUGUCGACAAGUUAACAAAUUAUAUAUUGGAUUCACGUCUUCAACUCAACCAACCAAAAAUCUAAGUUAAUGAAUGGGAUUAAGUCAGGGGCUCAGAUGGAACUAUGCAAGCAGUACAUACAGCUCCUUUAAAUUGUGAUAUGUGUCUCUCUUAUUAGAUGAAUCACAGUGAUAACAGAUUAAUCAGUUGUAUAAAUGAAAUAUCUGACAUUUUAUUCCCAUUUGAACUUUGCUGUGCUUUUUAAUGGUUGAAAGCGCAUUGAUAGACAUUUGGGUAACGACUAUACCAAAAAUCCUACGUUGUUUUUCCAUUGGAAUUUGGUUGUGCUUUUAGAUGCUUAAAAGCAUAGUGAUAACACAUUGUCAAUUCAACUAACUUUGUGCUGUGUUUUUGAGUAUGUGACUAUAGGUUGUAAACUCAUUGAUCAACAUCUCAACCAAAUAUUAUCCAAUUUUCCACGUAGAAAUGAUGUGGUGUGCCCAGUGGUAAUAAUCCCUGUUCCUGUCCCUAUCUCUGGCUCUGUCCCUGUGGUGUUCUCUGCUGUGCUGUGUGACAGUCACCACCCGGGAUCAGCCACAGCCUCUGGGUCUCUCUCUGUGGCCUCUCUGAGUGUACAGGAAGCUAUUAACAACGAGGGGAUAUCCUGAACAAUGGCAGCCUGGCGGGCCCUACCGGAGGAGUGUGGGAAGAGAGGGAGGAGGGGGAGAGAUGAGGACAGAGAGAGAGAGGGGAAACAGAGGGUAGUGUGGGAGAGAGGAGUGUGGGAAGAGAGGGAGGAGGGGGAGAGAUGAGGACAGAGAGAGAGAGGGGAAACAGAGGGUAGUGUGGGAGAGAGGAGUGUGGGAAGAGAGGGAGGAGGGGGAGAGAGGGAGGAGAGAGGAGGACAUGGAGAGCGAGGAGAAACAGAGGGUAGUGUGGGAGAGAGGAGUGUGGGAAGAGAGGGAGGAGGGGGAGAGAUGAGGACAGAGAGAGAGAGGGGAAACAGAGGGUAGUGUGGGAGAGAGGAGUGUGGGAAGAGAGGGAGGAGGGGGAGAGAGGAGGACAGAGAGAGAGAGGGGAAACAGAGGGUAGUGUGGGAGAGAGGAGUGUGGGAAGAGAGGGAGGAGGGAGAGAGAGGAGGACAUGGAGAGCGAGGAGAAACAGAGGGUAGUGUGGGAGAGAGGAGUGUGGGAAGAGAGGGAGGAGGGGGAGAGAUGAGGACAGAGAGAGAGAGGGGAAACAGAGGGUAGUGUGGGAGAGAGGAGUGUGGGAAGAGAGGGAGGAGGGGGAGAGAGGAGGACAUGGAGAGCGAGGAGAAACAGAGGGUAGUGUGGGAGGCAGAGAAGGCAGUGUGGGAGGCAGAGAAGGCAGUGUGGGAGAGAGAGGAGUCUGGGAAGAGAGAGCAGAGGGAGAGAUCGAGAUGGAGAGACGAGAGAGGGGAGAGGUAGGAGAGAGAGAGCGCACAGUGCUGCUUUGUCCCAGAGCCAUGAUUACAGCCCACUCUCCUCCCGGUGUGCUUGACUCCCACGCUCCCCUAAGUUACUUGUGCUGGGCUGCCCGUCAGAGGAAUGAUAAAACAACCUCUUCCUCCUUUCAUGGACGCUCAGCCAAAUUAUUCUCUAUCUCUCCCACACCCUUUCCCUCCCUCUUUCUCUCUUUCUGUCUCCAUCCAUCCUCAUUAUAGUUUUUCCUGUAUUUCGUUUGCCAGACUUGAAAAGUGAUUCUCACCAGUAACUAUGGGGGAAGAGUCUACACUACAGUCUAGUGUUUUCUUAUGUAAUCCCUCAAACCAAUGAUGGACUUCAAUCAAUCAAUCAAAUGUAUUUAUAAAGCCCUUUUUACAUCAGCAGAUGUCACAAAGUGCUUAUACAGAAACACAGCCUAAAACCCCAAACAGC
rnacentral:lncRNA from 1 species